rnacentral:lncRNA from 1 species
AGGUAGGUCAUCUUUAGAAGGGAAGCAGGAAUACAAUGAAUUUAAGCACUGAAGUGGAAAUGAAAUGAGGCUGCCCUUAAGAAUAAAGAGCUUGAAUAAGAAACUUAAAGUUACAGAGUAGUUAGUGUAGGUGGUCACCUUGUGUAAGUUAAAAGACUUGCUGGAGGCUGAGGGCCAAAUUGUUGCUGCCUUUUUUCUAGCAGAAGGGGCUUAGAGUGGAUGAGCAGAGUGACCGGUGUAAUGUAGGAAUGUGGGAAGGUGUGUAGAGAGAAGGAAAUUCAGACCUGAUAUGAGAACGUCCUUUCCUGAGGAAGAAAUCGUUGACUUACAAGAGAGGCAUUAUGACUCUAUUGCUGAGAAGCAGAAAGACGUGGAUAGGAAAAUCCAGAGGGAGCAAGAAAAGCAGAGAAUUGCCCAGCGCUAUCAUCCCAGCAGUGGAGACUGUCAAAGUGUAGGACCAGAAGACGACUUUGAAGCUUCCUUAAGAAAUAUAAAGUCACAGUAUGAAGUUUUUCGAAGUAGUAGUAAGUUUUUAAUAUAUUCUCUAAACAUUUCCAGUUCACUUUUUACCACAUUAAGAACUAUAUUUCUGGGCAUUUGGAAGAACAAUACUAUUUAGAGAGACAACUGUUUCCUUAAAAAGAGAAAAAGAAA